rnacentral:rRNA from 1 species
GACGAACGCUGGCGGCGUGCUUAACACAUGCAAGUCGAACGGAAAGGCCCUGCUUUUGUGUGGUGUUCGAGUGGCGAACGUGUGAGUAACAUGUGAGUAACCUUCCCUUUACUGUGGGAUAUCUUCAGGAAACUGGGGCUACUACCGGCUAGGUGCUCCUGCUGCAUGGUGGGGUUUGGACAGUUUCGGCGGAGGUGGAUGUACUCGCGGCUUAUCAGCUUGUUGGUGGGGGAGUUGCUUACGAAGCCUUUGAAGGGUAGUCGGCCUGAGAGGGUGACCGGCGACAAUGGGACUGAGAUACGGCGCAGACUCGUACGGGAGGCAGUAGUGGGGAAUAUUGUACAAUGGGGGGAAGCGUGAUGAAGCAACGCCGCGUGCGGGAUGACGGUCUUGGGGUUGUAAAGCGCUUUAACCUGUGACGAAGCGUGAGUGACGGUAAUGGGUAAAGAAGCACCGGCUAACUACGUG